rnacentral:tRNA from 1 species
GAGGAUGUAGCUCCAGCGGCAGAGCGGGGGACCCAAUCCCUGCGUCGUGGGUUCGAUUCCCACCAUUCA